rnacentral:rRNA from 1 species
GUUAGAACGCUCGUAGUCGGAUUUCGGGGCGGGCCGACCGGUCUGCCGAUGGGUACGCACUGGUCGGCGCGUCCUUCCUUCCGGAGACCGUGCCUACUCUUAACUGAGCGGGGGCGGGAGACGGAACGUUUACUUUGAAAAAAUCAGAGUGUUUCAAGCAGGCAGCUCGCUCUUGCAUGGAUUAGCAUGGGAUAAUGAAAUAGGACUUUGGUGCUAUUUUGUUGGUUUCGAACACCGAAGUAAUGAUGAGAAGGGACAGUCAGGGGCACUCGUAUUCCGCCGAGAGAGGUGAAAUUCUCAGACCAGCGGAAGACGAACCACUGCGAAAGCAUUUGCCAGGGAUGUUUUCACUGAUCAAGAACGAGAGUUAGGGGAUCGAAGACGAUCAGAUACCGUCGUAGUCUUAACCAUAAACCAUACCGACUAGGGAUUGGGGGAUGUUCACUGAUUGACUCCCUCAGCACCUUACGGGAAACUAAAGUCUUUGGGUUCCGGGGGGAGUAUGGUCGCAAGGCUGAAACUUAAAGGAAUUGACGGAAGGGCACCACCAGGUGUGGAGCCUGCGGCUUAAUUUGACUCAACACGGGGAAACUUACCAGGUCCAGACAUUGUGAGGAUUGACAGAUUGAGAGCUCUUUCUUGAUUCGAUGGGUGGUGGUGCAUGGCCGUUCUUAGUUGGUGGAGUGAUUUGUCUGGUUAAUUCCGUU